UUAGAGUGAGCAGCCUCAUUAUGGUGGAU
rnacentral:sRNA from 1 species